UCUAGUUUGAUAAUAGUGACAUGGUCUAUGAGGUCUAGUUUGAUAAUAGUGACAUGGUCUAUGAGGUCCAGUUUGAUAAUAGUGACAUGGUCUGUAUGAGGUCCAGUUUGAUAAUAGUGACAUGGUCUGUAUGAGGUCCAGUUUGAUAAUAGUGACAUGGUCUGUAUGAGGUCUAGUUUGAUAAUAGUGACAUGGUCUAUGAGGUCUAGUUUGAUAAUAGUGACAUGGUCUAUGAGGUCUAGUUUGAUAAUAGUGACAUGGUCUAUGAGGUCUAGUUUAAUAAUAGUGACAUGGUCUAUGAGGUCUAGUUUGAUAAUAGUGACAUGGUCUAUGAGGUCUAGUUUGAUAAUAGUGACAUGGUCUAUGAGGUCUAGUUUGAUAAUAGUGACAUUGUCUAUGAGGUCUAGUUUGAUAAUAGUGACAUGGUCUCUGAGGUCUAGUUUGAUAAUAGUGACAUGGUCUAUGAGGUCCAGUUUGAUAAUAGUGACAUGGUCUAUGAGGUCUAGUUUGAUAAUAGUGACAUGGUCUAUGAGGUCUAGUUCAAUAAUAGUGACAUGGUCUGUAUGAGGUCUAGUUUGAUAAUAGUGACAUGGUCUAUGAGGUCUAGUUUGAUAAUAGUGACAUGGUCUAUGAGGUCUAGUUUGAUAAUAGUGACAUGGUCUGUAUGAGGUCUAGUUUGAUAAUAGUGACAUGGUCUAUGAGGUCUAGUUUGAUAAUAGUGACAUGGUCUAUGAGGUCUAGUUUGAUAAUAGUGACAUGGUCUAUGAGGUCUAGUUUGAUAAUAGUGACAUGGUCUGUAUGAGGUCUAGUUUGAUAAUAGUGACAUGGUCUAUGAGGUCUAGUUUGAUAAUAGUGACAUGGUCUAUGAGGUCUAGUUUGAUAAUAGUGACAUGGUCUGUAUGAGCUAGACCUUGAAUGAGCUUGGUUAAAACAUGUAUAUUUAAUUUCUGAUGUUUGUGAAAUGUUCUAUGUCUUACUGUCCAGAUUUUCUCAUCAAAACACUUUCCAAAUAAUUCACUAGCGUUCAUGUGUGUGCCUUUGCCAUACAAAGUAAUGGCAGAACAUUUCACUAAUCAUUAAGCAUGUACAAAGACCAGCCGAUGCAAACAAACACUCACGUUCUGCAUGUAAUAGAUCCUGUAUAUAUGCAGUAAUAAUCACCAAACCAGAAAACAUUUCCCAAAUGACUUACUGCUGAAGUCUAACUCUAACUGAUAUCUUUUUCACAAUUAACAAUGUGUUUUUUCCCCCCCUGUAACAGUGGAGACUAAAAACAAACGUCUUCAGGGAAGAUCAUUCAUUCAAGGACUGUUUUUAUUCAAAUAGCAUUUUUCAUUCAACUUGCGUUCCAGUCAUUCUGGACAACACUGCUGUAGCUAAAUUAUAUAAAA